GAUAUUAUUAGUUGCAACCAUUUUAUAUAUAAAAAAAAUAAUAGCCGAGCCAUAUCCCUCCCUAAAACUUCCCUCCAAUAUCGAUCACUACCCUCAUUUUCUCCUUGACCACACCCCCAAAAUCAAAAAUUAAAUUUCCUAAUUUCCCUCAAAGUUGAAGGUCAUUUUGAGUUUUGACAAAUUCCCUCUACACCAGCGCAACAAUGGAGGCUAAUAAUGCAACAAUGGAGGGGACUCGUAAUCACAACAAAAAUGACAACAUAAGAUCAUUGUCGGAGAUUGCCAAGGAGGAACGAUGGUCAGACCAGGACCCGCCCCAUCGUGUUGCCCAAAGCGCCCACUCCGGUUCCAGUAGGCUUAUCUCGAUUCACUUCCAUCUUCUAACAGGAGAUGGGAUUCGCAAAUGAAGAUGAAAAACUCAAUGAAAAGAGCCUACUUUUAUGGAGCGCAAGAAUAUAGGUGGCAGGUGUAAAGGAAACAAUGAUCGAUAUAAAGAAGAUUUACUGGAAGAGCAUCAUCAAAUCAGGUGUUGGGGUCCACUCGCUGGUAGUCGGGUUCCCUUGCAAGAAGCAUGAUGUGCAAAUUCAACUUCAUGGACGAAAUUCAAGGCCGUCUCAUUUGUGCCAUCUACUUUGAUGACCCAACAUGCAUAAUUUGGUGUCGAGAAAAAUCAUACUAUUUGUUGAAUUUGCCCAAAAUGCUUAUAAGUAGUUUCGCAACAAGGCAGCAUUUUCAAGAUCAAUAAGUGUAUGUGGUCGAGUUUUAUUUUAAGCAGUUUUAGGUAGGUUGACUAUCACGUUAGCAGCCCGACGUAAUUAUAAUUGAAGCUGGAUAAUAGAGGAUAUUGCAUAAGGAAGAGCGUGGAGUGGUAAUAUUUUGCAAAUUUUUAAUAUGAAGAACACCUUCAGAAACAUUUUGACAUCCAAUGAGCAAACUUUGAAGCUAGGAUGCGAAGUAUCAUAGAUAGCUACCUAUCAGAGUACUUUAAGAUCUUAGAGAAUGGUAGGAGGUUUUUGUAACUUUUAUCAUUGUAAUUACAACUUUAUUUUGAUUACAUUGUUAUUUAGAAUUGGACAGAUGUUAAAUUAUGAUAUAAGAUAUGUAUUAUAUUUGUGUUAUUA